AGUCGACUCUAUUGCGCGCAGGAGGCAGAGAAGAGGAGGGAGGUGCAGAUUCAGGGACAGAAGUUCUCUUUUAUAUUUAUUUUUUUACUCAGGGAAAAAAAAAAACUGAGAAGUUUGAAGAGGGCAGCAGAGGGGAGGAGAGAAGGAGGGAGAGAGAGAGAGAGAGAGAGAGGGGGAGAGAGAAUGGGGAAGGAGGAGAAAGACGAGGAGAGGGACGCAGAGAGACAGGCGGAUGGAGGAGAAGCAGCAGCAGCAGCAGAGAGGAGGAGGAGGAGGAGAAACAAAGCGUGAUGACUGAGGAAGUGCGCGGUGCCUCGCGGGGCCAUGUGCUCAGGCCGGAGCUCUUCGAGACCAGCGCGAACGGCGCCAGCGACCUCAGCGACCUGGACCCGAGUGGCUCCUGAUCCGUCUGGAAGAGGAGAUGCGAGCCACCAGCUGGUCACACUGAUCAACGCGGUCACGGGGGCUCAGGUGUGCCCCUCUUCACCUGCACCGUGAGGUCGUUGAGAGCAGCAGGAGGGGGGGGGGGGGGGGCGCAGUGCUCUGGUCUACGUGCUGCGUAGGAAUCUGCUCAGGAGAUGUUCCUCAUCAGAUCACCUCCCGUGUCCUUCCCUUCCCUCGGGCUCAUUUUCUUCUCUUCUGCUUGGUCUCCACCUCUCGACCCUGC